GCAUAUAUACACACACACAAAAAAUGAAACGAUACAGAGAUUACCAUGGCUUCUGUAUAAAGAUGACAUGUACAUUCAUGAAUCAUUCCAUAUUUAA
ensembl:snRNA U6 U6 spliceosomal RNA